AUACGUAGGGUGCAAGCGUUAAUCGGAAUUACUGGGCGUAAAGCGUGCGCAGGCGGUUUUGUAAGACAGAGGUGAAAUCCCCGGGCUCAACCUGGGAACUGCCUUUGUGACUGCAAGGCUAGAGUACGGCAGAGGGGGAUGGAAUUCCGCGUGUAGCAGUGAAAUGCGUAGAUAUGCGGAGGAACACCGAGGGCGAAGGCAAUCCCCUGGGACUGUACUGACGCUCAUGCACGAAAGCGUGGGGAGCAAACAGGAUUAGAUACCCUGGUAGUCCACGCCCUAAACGAUGUCAACUGGUUGUUGGGUCUUAACUGACGCAGUAACGAAGCUAACGCGUGAAGUUGACCGCCUGGGGAGUACGGCCGCAAGGUUGAAACUCAAAUGAAUUGACGGGG
rnacentral:rRNA from 1 species